CUGCACUUUUGAAUAAAAGGUCCUUCAGAACCAGGAACUAAUUUUCACAGUGGUGUACCCUAGGAAUGUUUCUUAAGACUAGCCAGAUUUUACCCAAAGCUGAAUCCUUUCCAAGUUAUGCUUUUGAUUCUAGAGAAGUAACUUUUUUCUAAACAUGAGCCUACGCUGAUAGAUUUUUAGUUAAAAAAACAAACAAAAACCAUGUUAGUCAAAUCUGUUUUUUACUUAAAAACCAAAUAAUACACUUUAAAAGUUCAACUGGGUUUUGCUUUGACUCAGUGGGAUCCUGUGGACUCUCAGGAGCACUGGGAGGCAGUUCAAUCCCUGGCCUGGAACAGGGGGUUAAGGAUUCAGCGUUGCUGAACCUGCAGCAGGAAUCUGAUUCCUGGCCCAGGAACACCAUGUGCUGCGGGGCGACCAAAAAGAAAAAAAAAAAAAGUUCAACUGUCUUCAUCUUCCUUGUUAUCUUUACUUUUCCCCUUCUCUCAGCAAGCCUCACCUCCCUUCAACCCAGCUCAAACUUACCAACUGCCACUUGGCUCCAGGAAUCCAGUUCUCAGGCUACAAUGUGGAAACUCCUACCACUGCUCCUGUUUGACUUUUCAGGAGGGCAAAGAGCUGCUCUUCUCUGUACUCUGGGCGAGUUUCAACAACUAAAAAGGCCACUUAACAGAAAUGUUAUAAACAGGAGGAAUCUUAAGUGAGCGCCCAACAUAAGGCUGGUGCUAAAUACACAGUCCGGAUAAUUGAUUAAUUGCCUCUCCUCCUGGGUUAGUGACAUACACAGGAAAUGACCUGGAUGACUACAAGGACUGCCAGUUGUCUGCUGACCACACUGUGAUUAUCUAAAUCAGCUUUGUUCAGAUUACUGCAACACAAAAGUUGUGAUGACUCCUGUGCAGUGAGUCAAGGGGCCCUGUUUCAGUAGGAGAGGGAAAGGAGAUAAGGCAGACAUCCCAUGCUGAUCUUUUGUGUAGCAACAGGAGUGUGUUUGGGUAUCGCUAUGUUUUGAUGACUCAGUGGUGAGUCAGUUUUAAAGUUCUGUAAAAGGCCUUGUUGAGCUCAGACAGGACUGAGAGAUGAACUCACACAGCAGCCAGCUGGGGAGAGAGUGCCCAGCAGAGUGUGAUCAGCUGAUGGGUGGUGUAACU
rnacentral:lncRNA from 1 species